CACGUAGGAGGCAAACGUUAUCCGGAUUUACUGGGCGUAAAGCGCGUGUAGGUGGUUCUGUAAGUAGGGCGUGAAAGCUCCCGGCUCAACUGGGAGAGGCCGUUCUAAACUGCAGAACUAGAGGAUGGUAGAGGGAGGUGGAAUUCCAGGUGUAGCGGUGGAAUGCGCAGAUAUCUGGAGGAACACCAGUGGCGAAAGCGGCCUCCUGGACCAUUCCUGACACUCAGACGCGAAAGCUAGGGUAGCAAACGGGAUUAGAGACCCCGGUAGUCCUAGCCCUAAACGAUGUAGACUAGACGUCGGUGGUGUAAUAGCUGUCGGUGUCCAAGCUAACGCGAUAAGUCUACCGCCUGGGGACUACGGCCGCAAGGUUAAA
rnacentral:rRNA from 1 species